rnacentral:rRNA from 1 species
GUUUCACUGGUCUAGCCUGCCCGGUGAAAGUUUUAACGGCCGCAGUACUUUGACCGUGCUAAGGUAGCGUAAUCAGUUGACUUUUAAAUGGAGUCGGGAAUGAAUGGUUGAACUGGGCUUAGCUGUCUUAAUGAUACUUAUUUGAAUUUACUUUUUAAGUGAAAAAGCUUAAGUGAUACAAAAAGACGAGAAGACCCUUAGAAUUUUUAUUAAAUGAACUUGUGUUUUUAUUGGGGCGAUAAACGAAAGCAUAUUAUAACUUUCUUAUUAUACUAGCCGAUAAUGUUAAGAUGGAGUAAAUUACCUAAGGGAUAACAGCAUAAUUCAUUAAUUGAGUUUGUGACCUCGAUGUUGGACUAGGAAACUGACAGGCUAGCCGUUUGCUAUGUUGGUUCUGUUCGAACUUUUAUUCCU